UGCCGCCUUUCCCCGGCUGCGAGGGGACGGUGUCGGCGGCGCCGGGGCGAGGCGGGGCCUUGUCACCCUCCUGCCCGGAGGCGGGCGCUCUGGCUCCUCACCACAGGCCGCAGAGGGCCGUCUCCUGCCCUGACAAAUGACUUAGUAUCUGCUGUAGCUGCUUCAGGCAGUCUGAACUUGUUCAGUGGUCAUUUCAGUGGUGGAAAAAGGAAAAUGACAAACACUGAGAAGUGCACAGGGAAGGGACAGAAGGAAUUUCACCAUAACCAAAGAAAACACUGUAGUGCCACGCUUGAGAGAAGGAACUUUAAAGUACAAUA